rnacentral:rRNA from 1 species
UACAGAGGUCUCAAGCGUUGUUCGGAAUCACUGGGCGUAAAGGGUGCAUAGGUGGCGUGGUAAGUCAGAUGUGAAAGCCCGGGGCUCAACCUCGGAAUUGCAUCCGAUACUACCAUGCUUGAGUACUGAAGAGGAAACUAGAAUUCUCGGUGUAGCAGUGAAAUGCGUAGAUAUCGAGAGGAAUACCAAAGGCGAAGGCAGGUUUCUUGGCAGUUACUGACACUGAGGCACGAAGGCCAGGGGAGCAAACGGG